AUGAGUUCGUCAUAUGAUUCUUCCGAAGAAGAAUUUGAUAUUGAAGAGGAGGAGGAUCUUGCAAUGAUCCUAGCUAUGCACAUCAAUAAAAAACCGAAGCACGGUGGUUCGGUUAUGGGUCGGCAGAAAAUUUGGAGGGAUAGGAUCGAUGCCCACAACAGAUUGAUGAGGCACUAUUUUGCGGAUAACCCCGUGUACCCCGAGUCGUACUUCCGGUGCCGGUUUAGGAUGAGCACCGAGUUGUUCAGGCGCAUUGCAGAGAAACUAGCGAGCCAUGACCGAAGGAUCUCAUCGAGGAGUGGUGGACAUGGAAUAGCCGACAAAGAGUAUCAUGAUUUGUGCGUUUGA
rnacentral:rRNA from 1 species